rnacentral:snRNA from 1 species
AGAUUUACCUGACGGGGGAGACACCUUGAUCAUGAAGGAGGUUUUCCCAGGAUGAGGUUCAGCCAUCGCUCUCUGGUUGUGCUGACCCCUGCAAUUUCCCCAAAUGCGGGAAANCCGACUGCAUAAUUUGUGAUAGUGAGGGACUGCGUGCACACUUUCCCCAG